ncrna:unclassified sequences NiCo riboswitch
ACAGUACAAACUGAGCAGGCCGGAAGCAGAAAACUGCUUUGGGAGCCGGGCCCCAGACAGCGGCAGCAGACAGGAACGUCUGUGGGACAGUG